CAAUAGCGUAUAUUUAAGUUGCUGCAGUUAAAAAGCUCGUAGUUGGAUUUCGGGUGGGAAUGGCCGGUCCGCCGUUUCGGUGUGCACUUGCUACGCCCACCUUGCUGCCGGGGACGUGCUCUUGAGUUCACGCUCGGGACACGGAGUCGGCGAGGUUACUUUGAGUAAAUUAGAGUGUUCAAAGCAGGCCUACGCUCUGAAUACAUUAGCAUGGAAUAACACGAUAGGACUCUGGCCUAUCUUGUUGGUCUGUAGGACCGGAGUAAUGAUUAAGAGGGACAGUUGGGGGUAUUCGUAUUCCAUUGUCAGAGGUGAAAUUCUUGGAUUUUUGGAAGACGAACUACUGCGAAAGCAUUUACCAAGGAUGUUUUCAUUAA
rnacentral:rRNA from 1 species